AUGGUGUUUCUUCCUCCUGUUAUCCUGUUUUAACUGUGGAAAAUAUUUCUGCAGUCAAAUUUUUUUUUAAAGUUUAACCUCCAAUUUCUUGAAAUCUUGUAUCAAGUGGAUACUUGAUCUUGGAGACUCAGAUGCGUCAGUCUGUUCACUCCUUCGACCGAGCAUAGGACAGAUCCGUCAGUCUCGUGGAUGGUAUGUUCCAUAACCCCUUCGUUCGAUCAUGGGAAGAGCUGCAUUCGUUUUGUGUCAUAAAUUGCUUCGGAUGUAGCUUUUUUCAAUUUACACAUCUGUGUUCCCAUGGUCGGGCGAAGGGGUUAUGGAACAGACCAUCCACGGAUCUGAGUCCCCAUUCUUUGAACCGGUUAUUUCUAGAAAUUGGAGAAAAAAUUGAACAAUGUUUUUAUGUUUUUCGAUCUGGACCAAUAUGGCUACCUCGAAGCCUUUGAGUCUCAAGUAUAUGGGCAUGAUCUAUUGCUUCCAGGAGGCUAAAUAUAUUUUUGGGAGCGCAGACAAGAAUGGCGAUCGCCUUCUCAGUUUUGACGAAUUCAAGACAAUGAGGAUCAAUGCAGUUGAAUUUCUUGUUCUAUGUUAUUAUCCAUUUCAUCAUGAUGCUCAUCGCUAGGCUUAUAUUUGUAGUUGCAUGUCUAUUUGUAUUUUCUCUAAUAUGCGAGGUAUCAGAAACAACAUAUCCUUCACAGUAUGGUGCUGUGAAAUUUAGUGAGGAGACCAAUCUCAAAUAAAACUAUCUGGCUUGACAGGUAGUCAGGAAGCGGGUUCAAGUCUUUAAAGGCAUUCAAGUCAAGUUAGUUCAGUGCAGCCAUCAAACUGCAGCCAGGCUACACUGCAAGAGUUAACACUGCAUUCUAUGUAAUCUUCUCCGUGUUGUAAGGAAGCAAAGGUGUGCGGAAACGCUUCCUACGCUAAUCUUGAGAGGACAGUUAUGCAACUUUCAACUUAAAUAUUACUAAGAUAUCAAGAAAUGCACAAUAAAGCAUAAACAAAAUAGCAAUGAACACAUAACACAGUGAUUACCAUGGGGAAACCCUUCUGAGAGAAAAACCCCACCCUCCAAAACUCGCACAAUGUAUUAUCAAAUCAAGCUGAUUACAAUACACUUGCAAUGCAAGUUCUUACAGGAGCGCAUCACCACAACUUGAACUCAGAGAGACUCCUUCUAGCAUCCAGUCUUGCAAAAAACUCAAUGAUCAAACUCCUCCCCAAGCCCUCCUUUUAUAGUGAUUUUACAACCUGGAAACCACUUGUGGUUUUACAAAACCAUGGGCUUAACCACCAUGCCACAUGGUGCCCAUUUUUGACAUUUACAUUUCCAAAAUGGAAAAACAACCAGGU